CUUUAGCCCUGAUCGAAACGGCAUCUUCCGACUUAGAAAAACAAGGCUUUUUUGCCGUAGUUUUUGUUAAUCGAAAUAUAGUGAAGAGCAGGAACCAUA
rnacentral:sRNA from 1 species